rnacentral:rRNA from 1 species
UGAAACGACUGCUAAGACUGGAUAGGAAAUAAAAAGGCAUCUUUUUAUUUUUAAAAGACCUUUUUCGGAAGGUAUGCUUAAAGAGGGGCUUGCGUCACAUUAGUUAGUUGGCAGGGUAAAGGCCUACCAAGACUAUGAUGUGUAGCUGGACUGAGAGGUUGAACAGCCACAUUGGGACUGAGACACGGCCCAAACUCCUACGGGAGGCAGCAGUAGGGAAUUUUCGGCAAUGGAGGAAACUCUGACCGAGCAACGCCGCGUGAACGAUGAAGUAUUUCGGUAUGUAAAGUUCUUUUAUUGAAGAAGAAAAAAUAGUGGAAAAACUAUCUUGACGAUAUUCAAUGAAUAAGCCCCGGCAAACUAUGUGCCAGCAGCCGCGGUAAUACAUAGGGGGCGAGCGUUAUCCGGAAUUAUUGGGCGUAAAGGGUGCGUAGGCGGUUUAAUAAGUCUAUAGUUUAAUUUCAGUGCUUAACACUGUCCUGCUAUAGAAACUAUUAGACUAGAGUGAGAUAGAGGCAAGUGGAAUUCCAUGUGUAGCGGUAAAAUGCGUAAAUAUAUGGAGGAACACCAGAGGCGUAGGCGGCUUGCUGGGUCUUUACUGACGCUGAGGCACGAAAGCGUGGGGAGCAAACAGGAUUAGAUACCCUGGUAGUCCACGCCGUAAACGAUGAGUACUAAGUGUCGGGAUUACUCGGUACUGAAGUUAACACAUUAAGUACUCCGCCUGAGUAGUACGUACGCAAGUAUGAAACUUAAAGGAAUUGACGGGACUCCGCACAAGCGGUGGAUCAUGUUGUUUAUUCGAAGAUACACGAAAAACCUUACCAGGUCUUGACAUACUCUGCAAAGCUAUAGCAAUAUAGUGGAGGUUAUCAGGGAUACAGGUGGUGCAUGGUUGUCGUCAGCUCGUGUCGUGAGAUGUUAGGUUAAGUCCUAAAACGAGCGCAACCCUUGUCAUUAGUUGCCAGCAUGUCAUGAUGGGCACUUUAAUGAGACUGCCAAUGAAAAAUUGGAGGAAGGUGAGGAUCACGUCAAAUCAUCAUGCCCCUUAUGAUCUGGGCUACAAACGUGAUACAAUGGCUGUUACAAAGAGUAGCUGAAACGCAAGUUUAUAGCCAAUCUCAUAAAAGCAGUCUCAGUUCGGAUUGAAGUCUGCAACUCGACUUCAUGAAGUUGGAAUCGCUAGUAAUCGCGAAUCAGCAUGUCGCGGUGAAUACGUUCUCGGGGUUUGUACACACCGCCCGUCAG